UGGGGAAUCUUCCGCAAUGGGCGAAAGCCUGACGGAGCAACGCCGCGUGAGUGAAGACGGCCUUCGGGUUGUAAAGCUCUGUUAUACGGGACGAAUAAUCUUGUGGUUAAUACCCAUAAGAAGUGACGGUACCGUAAGAGAAAGCCACGGCUAACUACGUGCCAGCAGCCGCGGUAAUACGUAGGUGGCAAGCGUUGUCCGGAAUUAUUGGGCGUAAAGGGCGCGCAGGCGGCUUCUUAAGUCUGUCUUAAAAGUGCGGGGCUUAACCCCGUGAUGGGAUGGAAACUGGGAAGCUCAGAGUAUCGGAGAGGAAAGCGGAAUUCCUAGUGUAGCGGUGAAAUGCGUAGAUAUUAGGAGGAACACCAGUGGCGAAAGCGGCUUUCUGGACGAAAACUGACGCUGAGGCGCGAAAGCCAGGGGAGCGAACG
rnacentral:rRNA from 1 species